UACGUAGGGUGCAAGCGUUGUCCGGAAUUAUUGGGCGUAAAGAGCUCGUAGGCGGUUUGUCGCGUCUGCCGUGAAAUCCCGAGGCUCAACCUCGGGUCUGCAGUCGAUACGAGCAAACUAGAGUGUUGCAGGGGAGACUGGAAUUCCUGGUGUAGCGGUGAAAUGCGCAGAUAUCAGGAGGAAUACCGGUGGCGAAGGCGGCAUCCUGGACCAUUAACUG
rnacentral:rRNA from 1 species